GGGACAGCCUCUACGUCAGUGGUUACACCUAUGGAGCCAUGGCCCCGACUACCACCAGCUUGCUCAUCCCUCUACUCACACAGUCACCAG